rnacentral:rRNA from 1 species
AUUGAACGCUGGCGGCAGGCCUAACACAUGCAAGUCGAGCGGAUGAAGGGAGCUUGCUCCUGGAUUCAGCGGCGGACGGGUGGGUAAUGCCUAGGAAUCUGCCUGGUAGUGGGGGAUAACGUCCGGAAACGGGCGCUAAUACCGCAUACGUCCUGAGGGAGAAAGUGGGGGAUCUUCGGACCUCACGCUACCAGAUGAGCCUAGGUCGGAUUAGCUAGUUGGUGGGGUAAAGGCCUACCAAGGCGACGAUCCGUAACUGGUCUGAGAGGAUGAUCAGUCACACUGGAACUGAGACACGGUCCAGACUCCUACGGGAGGCAGCAGUGGGGAAUAUUGGACAAUGGGCGAAAGCCUGAUCCAGCCAUGCCGCGUGUGUGAAGAAGGUCUUCGGAUUGUAAAGCACUUUAAGUUGGGAGGAAGGGCAGUAAGUUAAUACCUUGCUGUUUUGACGUUACCAACAGAAUAAGCACCGGCUAACUUCGUG